UAUGCGUGUGCAAGAGGCUUUAUGCGUGUGCAAGAGGUGUAAUGCGGUUGCAAGAGGCGUAAUGCGUGUGCAAGAGGCGUUAUGCGUGUGCAAGAGGCGUUAUGCGUGUGCAAUAGGCAUUAUGCGUGUGCGUGGCGGCUGCAUUACCUGUUAUUUCUAUUUUCAAUACAUGUGACAAUGAGAAGCACAAGGAAUUGAACCUCUUUUCCUAUGUAUAAAUACUAGGGAUGCACCGAUACCGAUACUUCGUUAAAAUACUCGUACUCGUACUCGUUUUGAAUUGCCGAUACCAAGCACCGAUACCACUCAUCAGUAUUUCACUGCAUCAAACUGGCCGGGCUAUGCUGACACAAAAUGUGAUUUAUUGUCCUACCUGUCCUACCACUCUCUGCCAGACUAAGCCCAGGGAGCACAAUGGAGCUGUUAAUCAGGAAGAAACCUUAAGCAUCACUGAAGCCCUGCCUCCAUCCAGGAAAUGCCCUAUUUAGUUCUGUGUUCCGGGCUGGAACACCCUGCAAAAAUUGAAGAAAACCAGAUAUACCAGCAGAGGGGGAGAAGCAAAGGUCCAGACCUUCCCAGUGGUGCUGAAACAGAACAUGAAGAUGAAGGCCAUGAAAUGACAACAGUGAUUUUCACAGCCAAGCACCUUAAGGCACAGAAAUAGUCAUUUCGUAUUCGAUUCAGUCUUUAAUCAUUUUAUUUUUAGUUAUUUUUAGCGUGUUAUGCUAUUGAUUGUCUGAUUUGUCUGAUACUGUUGUUAUCUGAGUGACACACUUUCCUUUAAUAAAACCAUAUC
ensembl:lncRNA